rnacentral:rRNA from 1 species
UACGAAGGGUGCAAGCGUUACUCGGAAUUACUGGGCGUAAAGCGUGCGUAGGUGGUUCGUUAAGUCUGAUGUGAAAGCCCUGGGCUCAACCUGGGAAUGGCAUUGGAUACUGGCGGACUGGAGUGCGGUAGAGGAUGGCGGAAUUCCCGGUGUAGCAGUGAAAUGCGUAGAGAUCGGGAGGAACAUCCGUGGCGAAGGCGGCCAUCUGGACCAGCACUGACACUGAGGCACGAAAGCGUGGGGAGCAAACAGG